rnacentral:lncRNA from 1 species
GACAAUUCAGCUCCGACCCACCCGCCUCCUUAUAAAAGGCAACAACAAGAAGCUGCAAAUAGCCAGUAGGGCUUCUUCCUUCUUCCUCUGAUUGCCGCUCGGGUUCCGUUGGCAGGCGUAUAUCGAAACAUCUCGUAAUUCCUUUCUUUUCUUUCUAAUUUUAGCAAAAACUAAGUUGAUUCAUUUAUUCGUUCUUGUUAUAAAGAAAGGUCUUUUUGCUUUUUUUUUUUUUUUUUUAAUUUUUUGUUUUGUUUUGUUUAUGGCCGAUCCAAAUGAGUUCUUGCUUCGAUUUUGUCUGUGCGAGUACUCAAUUUCACCCGGCCUAUAUUAAUUUAAUUUGAUUUAACGGGGGCAGACUCAAGAUGUUACAUGCUUUUUCAAUCAUGUUUUAAUUCUGGGAAACUACCCUACAUUUUAUUUAUUUAUUUAUUUUUAAAUCUUACCAAAUUUUAAUUUUUUUUCAUUCUGGAUGUGUUACGAAAAAAUCAAGCAUUUUCGGCUCAUCUUAGAUUUCUUUGAGCCGCGACGACGUACAUUCAGGCACAUUUAUUUAUCUUACAACUUCAGCUUUUAGCCUUUUUAUUUACUACACUAUUAAUGUUACAGCACUUACCAUUACAGACAUUUGUUGAAAGGCUGAAGCAUAUUUCCGUUGUGUAAAUCCCAGUUGUGUUCAUCAUUAUACUUAAAAGCACUCUCUAAAGUCUAAAUGCAGGAAUAAUGGUAAGCUAAUCACAAGCUUAGCUCUAUCUGGCCAGUAAUUAAGGCGGAAUUGUUCGCAAUUGGGUGCAUCGAUAAUAACCUUGUCUUCAAAAACUACUUGUAGAAAUGUCCACAGAUAAUGUUUAAUUUGAAUGAUUAAUGGAGUUUGUGUUAAUUAGGGUGAAGAAGCUGUUGAGCAAAAAAAUGUUUUAUUCGAAUGAUUUCUUGAUCAAUGAUCAUGGUCAUUAGAAAAUACUUAAAACUCAUAGUGGAGGUGCAGCUUUUGGUAUGAAAUUUCUAUGAUUCAAAAUUUCGUCUCGUGCAGAAGCAAUGUGCACUAAUUUGUUAAUUGGAAUACAUAACCUUUAAAGAAAACAAACUAAAUAAACUUGAGAACACAAGUUUCCGAAUUCUGAAGCCCUUGGAAGCAGUAGCAAUUUGUUCAGAAGUGCCUCCUCAUCCUCCAAAGCUUGGCCACAGGGCAGCUGCAGCAAAAGUUGCCUCUCUGCUACUUGUUUAGAUAUACAACUUAAAACAUGGAGACUCUUGAGACGUGGGAAGCAGAUGGAGCUUGGAACAUUGACUGAAAGCAUAUGACCAUGAUCAUUGAUGAAGGCUUACAAAGGAUCACUGAAAGCAAUGAAGGCUCUCAAGGUAAUGGAAGGCAAGUAUGAUCAUAUAGUUCAGAGAAACUCGAUAGGAUUUUGCACAGAAUUCUUCCAAGCAUAAAUUCAUGUUGAUUACAUUUUUUUGGCAUGCAAUUUUUAGCUCAGUCUUCCACUUGGGGUGAAGAAGCUGUUGAGCAAAACAUGUUUUACCUUAAGAUUUCUUCUUUAAUGAACACAAUAUCAAUGGCUUAACAAUAUUUAAGGCUUAAUGGUGCUUUCAUAACUUGCAUUCCACUACAUUGUAUUGUGUUUAAACACUGAUCUUAUGCUAACC